rnacentral:lncRNA from 1 species
AGUGUCACGGGACAAGUCAAGAGAAGAAAUUUUACUUUGAUUCAUCGUUAAAGAGAGACUUGAAUCCAUCACUACAAGGGGAAUGCACGGGCAGCUCUUCACCUGACCAUUGUCCAGGAAGCAGAGUUCAGGACUAGAGCCACAAGAGGAUAUAAAUUUCACGGGCCUGCCCCUGGUGGCCCAUCUAGUCUAGCAUCUCCUCAGGAGUCUACAGCCUUCAAAGCAGCCCCCACAAACUGGGGAAUCAAGUGUUU